rnacentral:pre_miRNA from 1 species
AGUGAGAUAACUGGGUCAAAUGGUGGUUGCAUUCCAAGUUUUCUAAGGAGUCUUCAUACUACUUUCCAGAGUGGAUGCACCAAUCUGCAGUCCCACCAGCAAU